rnacentral:lncRNA from 1 species
GCAUAAAAUAUGAUAUAAAGAUAUCGAUACUCUAAGAAAUACCGAAGCGUUUUCCAUCAAUAUAUACAUUUUGUGCUAAACUUCCAUUUUUAUCCUUUAAAUAAGUGAACGAUAUCAAACAAUAUUACAAUAUGCAUUUUACUUUGAUGUGGUGGAUACGAACUUUCCCACAUGAAACACAACUUGUAAAACACUGAAAAUUAAACACUGCAAAACAUCAAAUUAUUGAUACGAUCGGAUGGGGAAUUCAGAUUCCGUCUUCUGGGAAACGGCGUCGUCCCUUGCGGCCGCCCCCUGAAGGGGAGGCGCGGUGGUGUCCUCCGUGCGGGUCAUCAACUGAUAAUUACGUUUCGUGAAAAUCGUAAGUCUACAGAGAGAGGGCUCGAAAUAGUUACAUCAUUAGUUAUUGAGGUGGAAGAUACGGUAGGGAAGAGCUUACCAGCGAGAAACCUAGCGGGGGAGGUCCGGGAGAAAUCGGCGGCCGACAGAGAUCCUCCGAAGAUGAGAAAUAUGAGCAUGAUCGUCAUCGUCAUCGCUGCCGUAACGGUGUUUUCUGAAACCAUGCUUGCUUGCUAUAACUAUAUACUUUGAAGUUGCAUAUAUGGGUCAAUUUACUUGUAUAUAUAGAGGGUUGUCACUUGCUAAUUACUUUCUUUCAUUCUUUGGUCACUUGCUA